rnacentral:lncRNA from 1 species
CAAAUGUCUAAAGGAGAUAAGGUGAGCAAAAGCUAGAUGUCAGGCUUGGGUGAGCUGUUUAUUUAUUUUUAUUAGAUAUGUAUAACUAUUGUAGCCAUUUAUAUUUUACUUAAUAUUAUCUCAGCUGCAAAGGUCAUAUAUACAAUAGUGUCACUACUUUAUUACAGACAUUUAGCUAACUUCUAACAAUUCAUAUCGCACACAGCAUGAGAAAUACAGAAUAGAAUAAUAAAUAACUUUGGUUGCACUUGAUUUUAACAAAGGACUGUGAUAUAUAGGAGUAUGUUUGUUCUCUAUGAAAGUAUAGGGAAAUGAGGG